rnacentral:rRNA from 1 species
UUGCACGCUGGCGGCAGGCCUAACCCCUGCCAGUCGAACGGUAACAGGAAACAGCUUGCUGUUUCGCUGACGAGUGGCGGACGGGUGAGUAAUGUCUGGGAAACUGCCUGAUGGAGGGGGAUAACUACUGGAAACGGUAGCUAAUACCGCAUAACGUCGCAAGACCAAAGAGGGGGACCCUCGGGCCUCUUGCCAUCGGAUGUGCCCAGAUGGGAUUAGCUUGUUGGUGGGGUAACGGCUCACCAAGGCGACGAUCCCUAGCUGGUCUGAGAGGAUGACCAGCCACACUGGAACUGAGACACGGUCCAGACUCCUACGGGAGGCAGCAGUGGGGAAUAUUGCACAAUGGGCGCAAGCCUGAUGCAGCCAUGCCGCGUGUAUGAAGAAGGCCUUCGGGUUGUAAAGUACUUUCAGCGGGGAGGAAGUGAGUAAAGUUAAUACCUUUGCUCAUUGACGUUACCCGCAGAAGAAGCACCGGCUAACUCCGUG